UAUGUUUGUCCACCAUAGAUCGUGUUUACAUUUUAACCAGACGGACUAGUAGUGAAUCGUUCUUGGAUCGAAGCAGGUUUCGUUCAAGGUGAAAACGUGCUCGGUUUCAACAUAUUGAACGAAACUUGGAAUAUUUUUUGAAUCUCCAUGAAUUUCAAUUUGGUCGGCAUUCCGUACUUCGAUAGGAAUUCAGUUUUUUACUCAAAUUUCCACUAGUUACGAAACUUUUGCUACAUUAUGGAAAAUGGUUACGUCCGGCGAAUCUUUAGGUUCGAGACGGCCACCAGCUGUGCGCAUAAAAUUAAGCGGACCGCGGUAGUUCCAAGGAACUGUCAUAAAACGAGGCUUUUUGAUUUAUCGUUAAGGCCAUCAAUUGGCAUAAAACAUCUUCGAGUCGAGAGGUUCCUUAUGGUUAUUGCUCCAUCGGGUAAAAAUUUUCCCCCAGAUUACACUCGCAAGCGAACAGUGGGGGGAGGGGGGGGGCGAUCACCACCGACUAAGAGUUUUCCUUUGCAACAGCAUCGUCGCUGGACUUCACUGGUUCAUCGUCUUUAGAACAGUCAACAUCUUUUUCCCGGGUUUACACCCUUCAACCAUUCACCUACUUCACUUAUAUCUACGCACCAGCGUAACUAUCUUCUCUACAAAGUUGUUGGAAAUAUAUAAUAUCUUUGAACUAUUAAUCAAGUGUUAUGCUAAUUAAACUACCUCUAUUAUCCUAAUCGAAAUAGGGGAUCGAUCAGUUCGUGGCGUCCCGUUGACGCGCUUCCUCGCGAUCGCGCCUCUCCGCGGCUGUUCGAAAAAACAGAAAUAUGAACAUUUUUGUUAAAGAAAUGGUUUGAUACGAAAGGAUACGUUUAUAUAAUUAUUUUUUGAGCAAAACAAAUUAUUUUCGUAUUUGUAUACGUGUCUUUUUUUUUUUUGUCAGUGUUUUUCAAAUUCUAGCAGCUAAAAAUUGAAGAUUGUUCGUAGCGAACAAUUUCGUACGAACGAGAAGAUUAAAAUUUGUUAAUCUUCGGUAUAAAUGAAAGGAUAAGUCGAAGAAGAAUCAGUUAUAAAGAUAAAACGAAUGAAGUUUGAAAAUAGAAUUUUAUUAGCUACAGUAGCAAAAUACCUAUUCACUUAAAUAUUUGGCUUCACACGAUUAUCAGGCUAAGUUCAUUUAUAUUAAUAUACAAUAUGUAAAAUAUGCCAUAUUGGAUAUGGGCAGUGUCCGUAGUAGUACGAUGAACUUACUUUUCAUACAAGAUUUACGAGAUAUAAAUAUACAUAUAAUAUUUAUAAUAAACUUUUAUAUAUAUAUAUUAUUUUACAUGCUAGAGAAUAGUACGCUAGGCACUUGUUUGAAUAGUUAUAGAAAUAAAACUUACGGCAUAUACGAUCUCGUGAUGGGAAGGAAAGCAAUUCGCGGGAAAUUCAAAGGCGGCAGUAAAAACAAGUGUAAAACGAGAUUUUUGACCAAAGAAAGGAUCAACGAGGAAAGCAUUAGGAACAUGACAAGAAAGAUAAAUACACUGGUCCACGAAAGUAUUUGAACAUUUACCAGAGAAAACUUUUACGUCCGCAUUGUAUGAAAUACAACGCCCAUGUUAUACGAAACAUUUUGAAAUUUCAUUAUCACUGUGAUCAGAUACUAUUAUCACGAUCGUAUUGAUAAAAUUUGAAAGCAAUCGGAAAAUGUACAUACAUGUUGCAAGAUAUUUGCUGCAAAUAUAUAUUUAGUAUUUAGUUAAUAUAUUAAUACAGAGUAUGAAUAGCUUAAACAAAUAAUAAAUGCCGAAGAUGGUGCGAUAAUCUUUGCAAAAGAUAUACUUGUACCAGAUAUCGUGUAAUCUCUAUAUAUAUUUCCAGAUUUUUAAACUUUAUCGAUAUAAUCGCUAUAGUUGAGUGUGAUUAUGGUGAUUAUGAAAUUUCAUAACGUUCCCUAUAAUAUAUAUAUAUAGUAUAUCUAUCAAAAAGGUGUCUACAAGCGUCCAGAUAUUAUAAUACUUUCGAGAGUCUGUGUAUAGGAAGAAGAAGAGAUACGGAGAAAAAGGAAGUAAAAGAAAAACGAAAGGGAAAGGAGACAGAUUAAAAAUAACGAGGACGAGACAUUUGCGGCGGAGGUCAAAAAGAGAGCACGACAAGGAGCAAAAAUCUCUCUCAGUUUCUUUCGUCUUCCGCAAAUUUUUAUUCGGUCCUUUUCCUUCCAGACCUAAUUCCGUCUUAUGUAUAACCUUCUUUAUAGUUAGCGAUAAAGGUAAUUGGCGUCGUUUUAAAAAGGAAGAAAUAAAGAAAAAAGAAG